rnacentral:tRNA from 1 species
GGGGGUGUGGUGCAGCGGUUUAGCAUAUUGCCCUGUCAAGGCAAAGAUCGCGGGUUCGAAUCCCGUCACUCCCG